rfam:Ictidomys tridecemlineatus contig011473, whole genome shotgun sequence.
GGGGUUGUGGCUCAGAGGUAGAGCGCCUGUCUAGCACACAUGAGGCACUGGGUUCGAUCCCUGGCAGCACGU